rnacentral:rRNA from 2 species
CGAUGGAUAUUGUCGAAACCUGC